UGGUGGAGUGAUUUGUCUGGUUAAUUCCGUUAACGAACGAGACCUCGACCUGCUAAAUAGUUCGCAUCAGACCUCGGUCUGAUGACAUAUACGUGACUUCUUAGAGGGACUAUCGGUGUGUAGCCGAUGGAAGUUCGAGGCAAUAACA
rnacentral:rRNA from 1 species